GACGAACGCUGGCGGCGUGCUUAACACAUGCAAGUCGAACGGAAAGGCCCUGCUUUUGUGGGGUGCUCGAGUGGCGAACGGGUGAGUAACACGUGCGUAACCUGCCCUUGACUUUGGGAUAACUUCAGGAAACUGGGGCUAAUACCGGAUAGGAGCUCCUGCUGCAUGGGGGGGGUUGGAAAGUUUCGGCGGUUGGGGAUGGACUCGCGGCUUAUCAGCUUGUUGGUGGGGUAGUGGCUUACCAAGGCUUUGACGGGUAGCCGGCCUGAGAGGGUGACCGGCCACAUUGGGACUGAGGUACGGCCCAGACUCCUACGGGAGGCAGCAGUGGGGAAUAUUGCACAAUGGGCGGAAGCCUGAUGCAGCAACGCCGCGUGCGGGAUGACGGCCUUCGGGUUGUAAACCGCUUUCGCCUGUGACGAAGCGUGAGUGACGGUAAUGGGUAAAGAAGCACCGGCUAACUACGUG
rnacentral:rRNA from 1 species